rnacentral:rRNA from 1 species
CAGUCGCCGCGGUAAUACGUAGGUGGCGAGCGCUGUCGGGAAUUAUUGGGCGUAAAGGGAGCGCAGGCGGACAUAUAAGUCCAUCUUAAAAGUGCGGGGCUCAACCCCGUGAGGGGAUGGAAACUGUAUGCCUUGAGUGCAGGAGAGGAAAGCGGAAUUCCCAGUGUAGCGGUGAAAUGCGUAGAUAUUGGGAGGAACACCAGUGGCGAAGGCGGCUUUCUGGACUGCAACUGACGCUGAGGCUCGAAAGCCAGGGGAGCGAACGGGAUUAGAUACCCCUGUAGUCCCUGUCUCUUAUACA